rnacentral:rRNA from 1 species
GGUAGCCGGCCUGAGAGGGCGACCGGCCACACUGGGACUGAGACACGGCCUAGACUCCUACGGGAGGCAGCAGUGGGGAAUAUUGCACAAUGGGGGAAACCCUGAUGCAGCGACGCAGCGUGCGGGAUGACGGCCUUCGGGUUGUAAACCGCUUUCAGCAGGGAAGAAGCGCAAGUGACGGUACCUGCAGAAGAAGUACCGGCUAACUACGUGCCAGCAGCCGCGGUAAUACGUAGGGUACGAGCGUUGUCCGGAAUUAUUGGGCGUAAAGAGCUCGUAGGUGGUUGGUCACGUCUGCUGUGGAAACGCAACGCUUAACGUUGCGCGUGCAGUGGGUACGGGCUGACUAGAGUGCAGUAGGGGAGUCUGGAAUUCCUGGUGUAGCGGUGAAAUGCGCAGAUAUCAGGAGGAACACCGGUGGCGAAGGCGGGACUCUGGGCUGUAACUGACACUGAGGAGCGAAAGCAUGGGGAGCGAACAGGAUUAGAUACCCUGGUAGUCCAUGCCGUAAACGUUGGGCACUAGGUGUGGGGGGCAUUCCACGUUCUCCGCGCCGUAGCUAACGCAUUAAGUGCCCCGCCUGGGGGAGUACGG